AUAAUAGUUGCAUUGGUAUCUCUGCCAGCUUUGUUUAAAUUCCCUUUUCUACUCUUUAAGCAAGCUUGGAGCUCCACUUAUUCCCCUUCUGAUACAUAACUUAAGCAAAACUUGACUUGAGGCCAACAGUAUCUUAAAAAGGAGACAGAAGGCUUGGGCCGAAUAAGAAACAGGUUUCACACCAGUGCAGUUUUCCCAAGAUGACGGGCUUUUGCUGUCAGUGGGUUGCUUCAGGAGGCCCCCUCAUACUCCAGCACCAACUACAGCUCCUGCUUAAAUGACAGAGAAAGGGAAGAUGAGUCAGUAAGUACAAAAGCUUCCAGGACUGAAGGGCACUGGAUGAAGCAGUGGUGCUGCCCUGACCAGCCAGUAAUCCCAGGCUGAGCUCCUCCUCUAAACCUGAAAGUCUGCAUUUCCUGAAUCAACAGGCCCAGCACAGGGCUUGCUCUCACCACCAUUACUCAUAUAAGAAGCCCUGUUCACAUCACUGACUACACAUGUGUUUUAAGUCAAUACACAAAGUGGCUGAUAUGUGUUGUGUAGCCAUGAGAAGAGCGAGCAGUCAAUUCACUAAACUUCGUAACAGGUCACAGAGGGACAUGGAAAAGUUCUGAGUCCUUAAAUCAGAGCUGGCCAUCUCUCAGAAAGGGACAGUCUAAUUCAGCUAAAAGUGAUUGGGACUGGUGGAGAAAUUAUGGGGCAAAAUAAUUGUAUGGCUGCUUUGAUGCAGUAGACCAAAUUAAAUGCUGGUCUCUUAAUGUCAUGGGUAUUUUUACCUGAGGAGGGUGGUAUGUACGGCCAUAGGCACACAUGGUAGACUCUAACUGGGUACUAACUCUUUUGUUUAAAUUUUGCAGAGCUGUGCAUCUAUGGGGAGAGUUGUCAUUCUGCCUCCCAAGUACCUGCUCAGGAAGAGAGCUUAAAACACAUUGUUUCAUGUUAAAAAACAUCCAGUCCUUUGCUUCCAGCAGCAGCUGAUGUAGUAGGAAAGAACCGUCCACCCUUCAUUUACAGACCAGUUUGGCCACACAGCUUCACAGGUAAGGACAGGCCAGUGCACUUACACCGGUCCCAGGAAUACUGCUACUGAUAGUGCUCACUGAGCCAUGUUAUAUCAGCUGCACCAUGUCAGAGGAGCAUGUCCAAGAGCAGCUACAGCUAACAAGGAUCUAUUUGCGAGAAAACAUGAGACCAGAGUGAGACUUACGACAAUUUCAAGUGU